UACGUAGGGUGCGAGCGUUAAUCGGAAUUACUGGGCGUAAAGCGUGCGCAGGCGGUUCGUUGUGUCGGCGGUGAAAGCCCCGGGCUCAACCUGGGAAUGGCCGUUGAAACUGGCGAACUGGAGUGUGGCAGAGGGGGGUGGAAUUCCGCGUGUAGCAGUGAAAUGCGUAGAGAUCGGGAGGAACACCAGUGGCGAAGGCGGCCUUCUGGACCAAUACUGACGCUCAUGCACGAAAGCGUGGGGAGCAAACAGG
rnacentral:rRNA from 1 species